rnacentral:rRNA from 1 species
CCUACGGGGGGCAGCAGUGAGGAAUAUUGGUCAAUGGACGAGAGUCUGAACCAGCCAAGUAGCGUGAAGGAUGACUGCCCUAUGGGUUGUAAACUUCUUUUAUAUGGGAAUAAACUGUUCCACGUGUGGGAUUUUGUAUGUACCAUAUGAAUAAGGAUCGUCUAACUCCGUGCCAGCAGCCGCGGUAAUACGGAGGAUCCGAGCGUUAUCCGGAUUUAUUGGGUUUAAAGGGAGCGUCGGUGGAUUGUUAAGUCAGUUGUGAAAGUUUGCGGCUCAACCGUAAAAUUGCAGUUGAAACUGGCAGUCUUGAGUACAGUAGAGGUGGGCGGAAUUCGUGGUGUAGCGGUGAAAUGCUUAGAUAUCACGAAGAACUCCGAUUGCGAAGGCAGUUCACUGGACUGCAACUGACACUGAGGCUCGAAAGUGUGGGUAUCAAACAGGAUUAGAUACCCCUGUAGUC